rnacentral:lncRNA from 12 species
GCACACUGCGUCCAAUGCCUAAACUGUCAAAAAGAAAAGAUGAUCCUCCAGAAAAUGACCUCGGUCAGCCUAGCUCUACACAGACCUCUUUAGCUACACCUCAGCAGUCCCUGGACCCUCAAGCUGCGGAAUGGUCUCUCAGAAGCAAUAUGCUGCCCGUGGACUCAGAUGAGAUGGAGAACUGGUGUGAAGGAGUUUCCCACAUGUUGCUGUCAGAUGCAUUUGUGCCCGUUUCUGAAGAGACUGGAGAGAACAGCACAGAGCUAAAAGUAUUUGUCUUAAGCAUUCCUCAUAAGCAUGAGCAAACCACGCUUAGUCCGACAAAGAGUGAGGAGACAACCUCUGAAAUUUCAAGUGAUGUAUGUGAUUUUAAGCAGCAUUUAGCUGCAGUUCAUAACAAUUGAUUUUAUAUGGAUAAGUCUCAUGAAGAAGUGUCUAGAUCACAUUUUAUAUAUAAAAAAAGCCUUUCUUCAAAAAUAUGUUAAAUAAUUAAAAUGAUUUAAAAAAUAAUAAAAUACAAUUAUUUAUUAAAAAAUAUAUAAAGAGGGAGUAAAAUUAACAAAAUAUUUAUUUAUUAAUUUUUGGAGUGAAAUGUGACCUGGACAGGUUUUUCGAGAUUAAUCUACUGUAUAUAAAACUUUAAACAAGGUGCAAAUGACAAUGCAAAAACCUGUUUUAUAGGUACACCACACUACUUCUGACAUGAGAAAAUCAAAUGAGAGUCUGCCAGCAUCACAAGCAAAAAAAUCACCAGCAAGAAGUACAUUUCAGAUGACACUAAGGUCACCUGAAAGACGCCUUAAAGAUCAACCUGGUAUGCUGAAGUCAAUCCAAGCUGCCCCGGCAGCACCUCAGCAAACUCCAACAUCAAAAGUGAAAGAGUCCAUGGGAACUCCAACAAGACAACAAACAGGAGAGAUCUCAAGUGCAUGCUGGGUACAGCUAGAAAGGUUAUCGGUAGAGGAAAUCUGCAGUGCUCAAACUGUCCUGCAACCAAAGCACCACAGCACGCCUGUCACUUUAAAACCCACUUCUAGAGGGAAUGAGAUGGACAAGGCAUCUCUGGCUUUGCAUGGAAGCAGAAGCUCUGGUUUAGGAUCACCCAUGCCGCCAGGUUACUCGCCAAGGGUUUUCCUUCAUCGUAUACCAUUAAAAGCUACUGAUGAGAACAUUUCUACACAUACUUCGUCCCCAGCUAGAGUGUCCACCACACCCUCCCGAACACAGUCUCAUCAGUCUCCUCAAAACAGCCCUUCCGUCUCCAGUUUGGAUGCUGAUGAGAUUCCUGAUCAAGUGUCCCACAUCUUACUGCAUGACAUCUUCACUGAAGUUGUGGAUCCGGAUUGA